rnacentral:rRNA from 1 species
GGGUUGUGAGGUUAAGCGACUAAGCGUACACGGUGGAUGCCCUGGCAGUCAGAGGCGAUGAAGGACGUGCUAAUCUGCGAAAAGCGCCGGCGAGGUGAUAUGAACCUUUGACCCGGCGAUGUCCGAAUGGGGAAACCCAGUGCAAUCCGUUGCACUAUCGUUAACUGAAUACAUAGGUUAACGAGGCGAACCGGGGGAACUGAAACAUCUAAGUACCCCGAGGAAAAGAAAUCAACCGAGAUUCCCCCAGUAGCGGCGAGCGAACGGGGAGCAGCCCGGAGUCUGAAUCAGCUUGUGUGUUAGUGGAACGGUCUGGAAAGUCCGACGGUACAGGGUGAUAGUCCCGUACACGAAAGCACACUUGCUGUGAACUCGAAGAGUAGGGCGGGACACGUGGUAUCCUGUCUGAAUAUGGGGGGACCAUCCUCCAAGGCUAAAUACUCCUGACUGACCGAUAGUGAACCAGUACCGUGAGGGAAAGGCGAAAAGAACCCCGGCGAGGGGAGUGAAAAAGAACCUGAAACCGUGUACGUACAAGCAGUGGGAGCCUCUUUAUGGGGUGACUGCGUACCUUUUGUAUAAUGGGUCAGCGACUUAUAUUCUGUAGCAAGGUUAACCGUAUAGGGGAGCCGAAGGGAAACCGAGUCUUAACUGGGCGUUAAGUUGCAGGGUAUAGACCCGAAACCCGGUGAUCUAGCCAUGGGCAGGUUGAAGGUUGGGUAACACUAACUGGAGGACCGAACCGACUAAUGUUGAAAAAUUAGCGGAUGACCUGUGGCUGGGGGUGAAAGGCCAAUCAAACCGGGAGAUAGCUGGUUCUCCCCGAAAGCUAUUUAGGUAGCGCCUCGUGAACUCAUCUUCGGGGGUAGAGCACUGUUUCGGCUAGGGGGCCAUCCCGGCUUACCAACCCGAUGCAAACUACGAAUACCGAAGAAUGUUAUCACGGGAGACACACGGCGGGUGCUAACGUCCGUCGUGAAGAGGGAAACAACCCAGACCGCCAGCUAAGGUCCCAAAGUCAUGGUUAAGUGGGAAACGAUGUGGGAAGGCACAGACAGCCAGGAUGUUGGCUUAGAAGCAGCCAUCAUUUAAAGAAAGCGUAAUAGCUCACUGGUCGAGUCGGCCUGCGCGGAAGAUGUAACGGGGCUAAACCAUGCACCGAAGCUGCGGCAGCGACACUAUGUGUUGUUGGGUAGGGGAGCGUUCUGUAAGCCGUUGAAGGUGUCCUGUGAGGGGUGCUGGAGGUAUCAGAAGUGCGAAUGCUGACAUAAGUAACGAUAAAGCGGGUGAAAAGCCCGCUCGCCGGAAGACCAAGGGUUCCUGUCCAACGUUAAUCGGGGCAGGGUGAGUCGACCCCUAAGGCGAGGCCGAAAGGCGUAGUCGAUGGGAAACAGGUUAAUAUUCCUGUACUUGGUGUUACUGCGAAGGGGGGACGGAGAAGGCUAUGUCAGCCGGGCGACGGUUGUCCCGGUUUAAGCAUGUAGGCGGAGGUUCCAGGUAAAUCCGGUACCUUGUUAACGCUGAGGUGUGAUGACGAGGCACUACGGUGCUGAAGUGAUAAAUGCCCUGCUUCCAGGAAAAGCCUCUAAGCAUCAGGUAACACGAAAUCGUACCCCAAACCGACACAGGUGGUCAGGUAGAGAAUACCAAGGCGCUUGAGAGAACUCGGGUGAAGGAACUAGGCAAAAUGGUGCCGUAACUUCGGGAGAAGGCACGCUGAU